rnacentral:rRNA from 1 species
ACGCCGCGUGAGGGAUGAAGGCCUCUGGGCUGUAAACCUCUUUUCUCAAGGAAGAAGAUCUGACGGUACUUGAGGAAUAAGCCACGGCUAAUUCCGUGCCAGCAGCCGCGGUAAUACGGGAGUGGCAAGCGUUAUCCGGAAUUAUUGGGCGUAAAGCGUCCGCAGGCGGCCUUGUAAGUCUGUCGUUAAAGCGUGGAGCUUAACUCCAUUUCAGCGGUGGAAACUACAAGGCUUGAGUGUGGUAGGGGCAGAGGGAAUUCCCGGUGUAGCGGUGAAAUGCGUAGAUAUCGGGAAGAACACCAGUGGCGAAGGCGCUCUGCUGGGCCAUAACUGACGCUCAUGGACGAAAGCCAGGGGAGCGAAAGGGAUUAGAUACCCCCUGUAGU